AAUGGGAACCAGGAGUAGCAUGACUGGUGGUGGAGGCAAUGGAGGCAGCACCAAUGGUAGUAUCACCAAGGAAGCAGUGAGGCAAAGAAGCAAAACAAAGGACUCUACACUGAAGUAACUUGCAUGGUUGGAGGAGCUGUAGAAGGGGAUCAAGGAUUUGCACAGCAAUGAACCAAUGUAGGUGUGAGGGUGCAUGGGGCCUGAUGUCUUCUUAUGUCUAUAUAUAUUAUGGAGGGUGAGUACCAUUGAGUGGAGGCUGUUUUUGCUUUUAUGGAUGGAUUCAAUGUACCAUAUCUUCUAGUUUUUGAGUUUUGUAUUUCCCAUGCUUAGCAGGGAGCAAUAGUGUUUUUCUUGGAAUAGGGUACUCUUAUGGUUCUUCCCCCCUUUCCUCACUUCAUUGCCCUCUCUACAGUGUGAGUUUCUCAUCAUGUUUCCUAUUGUCCACUGUCUUUUUCAUCAUGUAAACUUUUUUUUUGGUUAAUUGACUGUCUUUCUCUCUCUGUAGUAUGUCUCCCUGUCUUUUUCUCAUUGUUUAGUAUCAAUUUUUUGGUUCAGUAGUUCUCUUUCUAUCUCUAGAGUGUCUCCCUGUUUUUUUUUUCUCUCAUUGUUCUAUCAUGUAAUUUCUUGGCAAAUUUACUCUCUGAAAAAAUUACCAUAUUACUUGCCAUUCCCUGGGAUAACUUUGAUGCUUUAGGAUUAAAAUGACCUUUUUACCCUUUGCUUAUAUGAAAUAUAUUAUAUGCAUAUUAUUUUAUGUUUUACCAAUUAGUUCUCUCUGUCUGGCAUGUGUUUCUCUCUUCUUUCUUUUUAUUUUAUUUUAUUUUAUUUCAUUCUUUAUCAUGUAUCUUACAUGCUUCCUUCCACCACAUCACUUGUUUUCUUUGUCUGUGUUUGUGCUUGUUUUGCAAAUAUAUUCUACAAAAAUUUAUAAUGACUUUAUAGUUACUUGUCAAAUUUAUCCCCAUGAGUUUUUGUAGGGUAUGCAUGCAGAA